rnacentral:misc_RNA from 1 species
AGCUCACGAAAACAACAAUUCAAUAGACAUAUGACAAGAAUAAUACAAAAAUGUUGCCAAAAAAAAAAAUCUAUCUUGAAGAACAAAGUUAUGGAAAAUGAUUGUCCUGAAACUGCAUUAAAAAGAUUACAGAAACUACCAAAUUACCAUUGCAGGUGCCAUAACGUGAACAAGCACUCAUUUAGGAAUACCCAUUAAAUAAAAAAGCUCUUCAAUAAAGGUUUACACUUCUUCAGCAUCUUUGUCCUUCUUUUUCUUCUUCUUCUUCUCCUUCUUCUCACUUCUAUCAGCCUCACCAUUACUUCUACCAUCAUCAACGGUUGCAGCCUCCCCAGCCUCUUUGUCUUUCUUCUUCUUCUUUUUCUUCUCAGACUGCUCUGGGUCGAGUGAUCCAGCUUCACCUUUAUCACUGUGCUCCUUUUUCUUAACCUUCUCAGUCUCCCUUUCCUCUAAAGUUUCUGCUUCACUGUCUUCUUUACUCUUCUUUUUCUUCUUCUUUUUCUC